CUGCUUUGCACAAUAACGGCUGGCAGCUGGGUUCCCAGUUCAGUUCCUCAAGUGAACUAGUAUUUUGUAGUUUAGUGUGAGGUACAAUAGACCUUGAGGGUCCCAGAGAGAGCCUAUACUGUGUAAAGAACCAUUGGAGAAUGUCCUCUGGUCUGAAAAACAUAUACCCAUUGACUUCUGGGUUGCCCUAGGAGUCUUUAUUAAAUUUAAUUUCAAUUAAAAUGUUUGGGGAGCCAGCUCCUGGGAAUACUAAUCAAUAUUAGUUGAAUAGUCCCAUGAUGAAUCUUACAUGCACCUUAUUGAUCUGGAAUGAAGGUAAUUUUCUUUUACCUGACAUCUUGUCUCCUGGCAAGUUCUCCACUGGCCUCCAUGUGUUCAACCUCACCAGCAUUUUGAGACUCGAGUUAGCAUGGGAGCAGAGAGUGGUCAGGAAGUCACACUGUCCUGAGGAGAAGAUUAAGACACUGUAGCUAUUGAGAAAGCCACUUGAGGUCACAGUCUGCACAAGAGGGGACAUGUCACCCAGGGGUGGAGAAGUACAAGGAGACAUGAGACUGGCACACUAUCCCAAAGGCGACAAGGCGCUGGGUACCGCUCAGAUUGCUUCGUCCGAGCACACGUGUCCAUCACAUCACAGAAAGCAAAAGCUACAAACGCAGAGAACUCAGUGUGUACUUUCAUAAUCCUUCCCAAAGAAAAGCCUGCAGCCUCAGGAGAUCUCGAGGCCACAAUGGAUACCACGAAGGCUUCAGUGUGUGCAGAGAAAGGAGCGUCCACAUGAUAUUUGAGAUGUGUGUAUCUGCGCACGUUAGUACAGGUGUCAGUGGAGACCAGAAGAGCACACUGGAUCUCUUGGAGCAGGAGUUACAGGUGGUUGUGAAUGUUGAAUUCAGCUGGGGUCCUUUGGAAGAACAGAGCAUGCUCCUGGCUACCGAGUCAUCUUUCUACCCCGGAAGACCCAUGCUUUCUUGAAAACAACUUCUACUGGACACCAGGUCUCUGUCAGUUCUCAAGAACCUGGUGAGAGCUGCACCCGUGUGCCUGUCAUUACGGAGCCUGCUUAGCCCCGCUGCAGAGGAAUCCUAGUCCCUCACACGUCUGGUGUGAAGUCCCACUGUGCCAAGUGGGCUUCUUCCUAGGAGCAGUUUCUAGCCAAGUCUCCACAUGCUUGGUGGGUGGGUGUGGGAACCCAGGGAAGGCUUGGCAGGAGAUCUGCAGAGGGAGCUGUUACAACCCAAACAGACACUGUGUGCACAAUGCGUCACUCACACGUCUCUUCCAUAUGCCUGGAACCAGUCACUGGAAACUGCAAGGCUCCCUGCAACCCCUCAAAAUGACAGAGAAAGUGCCUAGGACUCACAGGACAACUUGGUCUACUGUCUCCCAGGCAUCCUAAAAACCACUGAGUAUUUAAAUUAUCACACUAAGGGAAAUACACCCGGGUCAGCCCUUCCACUAUUGGACUGAAACAAAGAAUUUUUUGGUCGUCCAACUUCCUAGCAUUCAGGCCUUGCUCUGGAUGUGACAACUCUACCUUCUGACGAGUUUCCAGUUCAAGGUCAGAAGCAGUCUGGGAGGAAGCAUUCCUCACAAACCAAGUGUGAGGACACGUGCUCUGUGCAAGCCACAGCCUUUGGACUCCAUUCUGGACUUUGACUGCUGCGUGGAGUACGGCUGGAACUAGAGAGAUGUCGCUGCGCUGACUCACACUGCACAUGCUCCCAGACAGUGAGUGGGAUCCCAACUGAGGAGUGCAGGGCUCGUGCUGAUAGAACCUGGCCAGCUUGCACCUGACCACUGGCUCUGCAGUGGAAGAGAAGGUAGCAAGAGCAACCACAGGAGCCUCCUCCCCAGUUCUGCAGGGUCUGCCUCUCUCUCCCUUCCCUGCUGUGGGCCACCUCUGUUGCCUGCUGCUGAGGAGCCCUCCUGCCAGCCCAGCUUUCUUUGCUCUUUCCUCCAGAGCCCUAGCCUCCUGGGUCUCACCCACAGCAGAUGCUGUGUCAGUUUUUCCUCUGUGACUUCUGUCCCUGGGCACUCUAGGCAGCUGCGUGUGAAUGGGUGAGUGUAAGAGAGAGGACACAGGAGACAAAGAAAGGAAUGAGCGUAUGAAGGGCUGAGAGCUUAGCCGAUGAACACUGAACUUCUGGAACUUUAACAUUCCGGAAUGUUCUCCCCUUCAGCUGGACCAUGUUACUACAGGAUCUUUAGAUCCUUCGAGAAAACGAGAAUAUUCCUAGUAAGACCCGGAUACUGUCAUUUGGGUGUUUCUUCCUAAUGCUUAGUAAAGAGGGCUGGAGAGCUGGCUUAGCGUCAAGAGCAUUGGGUGCUCUUGGAGAAGGCCCCAUUCAGUUCCUAGCACCUACGUGCUGGCUUACAACCAUUUCCAGUUCCAGGGGGUCUGAUGCCCUCUUCUGGCUUUUGUGCGAUGCAUAGACAUAGAUGAAGGUAAAACACUCACGUGCAUAAAAUGAAAUGGAAAGGGGGGGGGGAAAGACCUGGGAAGAUGCCAGCAGGUAGAGUUUGCUGAGCCUCAGAUUUCUGAUCUCAGAAUCCAUGUAAAACCUGAGCAUGGCAGUGUGUGUAUGUAACCAGCCAACGGCUUCCCAGAGACUGGCAGAACUUGGCUCGCUGGCCAUUUCAGCUGUCUAGCUGAAAUGACAGUCCCCCAAGUUAAUCAAGAGACUCAGUCUUAAAAAUAAGGUGGCCUCCACAUGCAUGUCCAUAGUUUUCAACUUCCUCUUUUGCACCUGAAGCCAUAAGGGGGCAUCCCCAGAAUGGAGACUAAAGGGGCCUGGCAGGACCUGGAGGGGCUUCCUGCCUGCCCAUUCUGCAUCAGCUUGGAUCUGACUCUGUCCUGGCAGUCUGCUGGCUAAGGAGAACCACCUGUCCCUUCUGGGACAGGCAGCUUUCCAGUGAAAGCUGAAAGAGCUCCAUCAAAAUUAGGCCUGGAAUAGAAAAAGAUGGGGUUCUGGGAAGAAGAGAGGAAGCUGGCUUAGCCGGUUGUGGAGAGCCUUUUUGGGGUGCUGCUUGGCAGGGAUCUGACACUGGCCAAGGACAAGGAAAUGGGCCACUUGGCAGGGAUCUGACAUUAGGGCAUGGCAAAGAAGUAAGUUCAGGCAGGGACCUGUCAUUGACCAAGGACAAGGAAGUAAGAAUCUGGUUUUAGGCUAGAACAAAGAAUUAGGUUCAGAUAAUCUGGAUCUUUGUGUGUAUUGUCUUGCUUACUACUUGACUAUUUAUUGUCUUGCUUGAUUCCUCUUUGUACUACUCAAUACUUGCAUGUAAUUAAAAUGGUAUAAAAGCAGAUUGGAAAAAAAUUAAACUGGCCUACAGUCUUAGAAUUGACUGAGGUCAUGCU
ensembl:lincRNA A730036I17Rik RIKEN cDNA A730036I17 gene